rnacentral:rRNA from 1 species
AUUGAACGCUGGCGGCAGGCCUAACACAUGCAAGUCGAGCGGAGCGGCGGACGGGUGCGUAAUGCCUAGGAAUCUGCAUGGUAGUGGGGGAUAACGUUCAGUAACGGGCGCUAAUACCACAUACUAUCAGAUGAGCCUAGGUCGGAUUAGCUAUUUGGUGGGGUAAAGGCCUACCAAGGCGACGAUCCGUAACUGGUCUGAGAGGAUGAUCAGUCACACUGGAACUGAGACACGGUCCAGACUCCUACGGGAGGCAGCAGUGGGGAAUAUUGGACAAUGGGCGAAAGCCUGAUCCAGCCAUGCCGCGGGUGUGAAGAAGGUCUUCGGAUUGUAAAGAACUUUAAGUUGGGAGGCGUUACCAACAGAAUAAGCACCGGCUAACGUCGUGCCAGCCGCCGCGGUAAUUC